rfam:Schwartzia succinivorans DSM 10502 genome assembly, contig: EJ98DRAFT_scaffold00002.2
UUGAUAACAUCCGUUGACGGAGUUAUACAAAAACGCCUGCUCACAAUAAAACGACUGCUUGGAUCAUGUGACCGAGACAGGGUA